CCUAAUUCUCAGUCAAUAGCUGUUUCCCUCAUUCUCUCUUCUUUCCAAAAUCACUUCAAAGAAACCCUAAAACCAUUUGUCUGCGGUUCAAGCAACAAAGUUUUCUUUUAUCUUUUGGUUUACAUGAUUCUCCUAUCUUAAUGCUUUCAUUAUAUUUAAUUUUGUAAAAGAGAAACAAGAGAGAGAUGGAGCAGAUGAGAGACGCAGACGGGAGAUGGUCAUCUUCUCCGACGACUGGUGUCAGCGAUAGGGCUUUCUUAGUAGCCAGCGACGGCGGUGGUUCCAAAGUGGUUGUUGUUGUUGUCAUCAGUGUUCAGCAAAGGGUGAGAUCUGUCUUCCAACGGCUAGGGUUCCGCCAUGAAUCACUGGCGGCAACGAACAUUGAUUAUUGACAUAGUCCAGACGAUAUCAAUUUCAUGCUCUGUGACUCUGAGUUUCCAAUUGAAGUGUGCUUUUUUUCAUUUGUUGGGGGCAUCAAGGCGCUACCACAUUUCUACCUAAGAGGAUCUGUCAACAACAUUGUCAAACGAGUCUAACCAAAUUAGUUGAUUGGAAAGUGAGGUAUUGAAAUUUGGUGUCACGCAGUUCAAGAAAUGAAUUGAAUCCAAAUAUUCUCUCUGGGAGAUCAAAGAAUUGUAAACAAAGUCGUGUAAUAGUCAUGAGAGACGAAUACGCAAAGUUUAGAGCGAGAAGAAGUACUCGCGAAGAGAGAGAGAGAGAGAGAGAUAAAGAUGGAGCUAACACCGCUUCCGGUGUUCCCGGCUGCGCAAGACGAUGCUUCUAUCUUCGGUAUGCCAACAACCCCAAAUUUCUUCUCAUUUAUCACAUGAAGAUACACACACGCACACAGAGAGAUGUGAGAGAGAGAUGUCAGCAAUUGUGGUGGAUGAUCUGCGGUGGUAACUGGCUGCCAUCCCACGUUCCCAAUGACUUUUUUGCCAGGUGAUGCACCCUACAUGAUCUUCUUUUGUGAAGAUCGAUGACCAAGGGUUUUGGCGAUUACACCUGAUAACCAUACAAUCUUUCAUAUACCAGAAUUGAGUUGAGUAAUGCCAUCUGAGCCACAGAGAACUAUUUAGGAAUGGGACAUGUUAUCUGAACUUAUUCAGACUCAAACGAGAGUGUAACUGGGAAUGAAGAGCUUAAUGGCGAUGCUGCCCAUGAAGAUGAAGACUAUGACAUAGUGACUAUUCAUUUGACUUGACGGUACUGGUCGCAUAAUAUGGCGGAAAGGUUGGUUAGUUUAUCUACACGCAUUUUAUGUGUUCCUGAUCUAUGUAAGAUGUCGGGUUCCAUAACACAGUACAUACAUAAACAAGAUUAAAGAAAUGCAAAACUGGAUGGGAAGCUUCAAGAAGGAAGGGCCGAAAUGAACAAAUAGGGCAUAUGAGUGGGGUUUUUUUUAGUACAACGGCUGGUGGCGUUUCUCACUUUUUUCUUGUGGAGGACCCGAAUCCGAGCUUGCGUCUAAUCUAUCAACUAUUUCUCCACCAAAUUCCUAUGUCAACGGUCAACACUAUUGAAUAAUAUAAUUUAUUGUAAGACCACCCGUGUAAUACACGGGUACUUGAACCUUUGUAUUUUUUCCAAGUUUAAGGUUUUCAAG